rnacentral:misc_RNA from 1 species
GGAGAAGCACCACAAGCAUCUCGAGCAACUCGGUGGGCUUGGUGCUGUUGCUGCUGGCGCUUAUGCCUUGCAUGAGAAGCACCAGGCAAAGAAAGACCCAGAGAAUGCCCAUAGGCACAAGGUAGCAGAGGAGAUUGCUGCAGCAGCUACUGUAGGUGCUGGGGGAUUUGCCUUUCAUGAACAUCAUGAGAAGAAAGAAGCCAAG